CAAAAAAAUACAUUAGAAAGGAAAAAACCAAAAAGAAAAAAAGGAUAAAAGAAGAUACUGAAUAACAAAUUAACCACAGCCAUAGUUUAUAUCUGGUUUUGCAACUAACGAUUCAAAAGGAAUUGCAACCCUCUCUUUCACAACGCAUCGACCCUCCCCACCUUCCAUAACCAGAACUCUCCCAGGUGGACAUUCAUUGCAUCUCUUUUCUUUAGUUGUUGGCUGCUGAAACAAGUCCAUCUUAUUAAAAGGUAUACUUCUUUUCCCAACAUUAGGUCUAAAACCAGACAGGCUUAACACUGAUAUCACACGUGAUCGCUAUCUUAGCAGCUGCACCAAUGAAAUGUCCUAACCAUCUGCUUGAAUUUUCAGAUGCCUUCUGUGCCUUGCUUUCUGACUCAUUCAGAUUCUUCUUUGCUUCACCAGCUAUUAGCCCAUUCCGGACGGACUUGCGUGUAUAAGGAAAGUGUGACAGAGAGUGAUUGUCUACAACAAGGGACAGUGGAGGACGGCUUGGAUAAGGUGGAAGUAAAAGGUCAUUGUUAUGCUCCACUGUUUCACCAGCAAAUGCAGAAGCUUCCUUUAUUACUUCUAAGUCAUCCCCUUCGUACUCCUUUAGCUUAUCCA
rnacentral:misc_RNA from 1 species